rnacentral:misc_RNA from 1 species
AGGACUUGGAUUUGAUCUCUAUGCUUAGUGAGCUACUCAUUUGUCGUCCUGUUAACUCUACUUUGUCACACAAGCACGCCCUUCAAGCUUGUAUUGAGCAUGCCAAGCUGUGGAUAACAAAGUCUGAUCAGCUCAUUGUGCCAGAAUCAGAUGCUACUUAUGCUGGUUUGAGAUCUAAGUUGAACAAGAUCAUGUCUUCGUUCUAUUUUACAACGGAACCUGUUUUUAGAGUGGAACAGACUGUUGCUGAGUAUGAGUCUUAUCAGGUGCCAGUAGAAGAGACGGUUUUGCCGGUCAAUGCAACUGGGCAGGUGGAGAGUUCAGUUGAGCGCUAUCAUGAGAAGGGUGGAGAACAUGUAAAUUCUCAAGCUGAUAAAUCUAGCGAAAUUCACGAUAGCUCUGCAAAAGAUAUCAACCAGGAGAACUUGUCCGAGCAACAUGCUGCACCAGAAGAAGUUGGACAUGAGGGAGAAGGUGUUGAGGAUCCGAAGGAUGCAAAUAUUGAUAAUCAACAAUCGAAUCCCCGGAGGUCCCAUCAGCAUUUCAGGGGUAAUCGAGGUGGUGGAGGCCGUCGUGGAUACAACAAUGGCCGUGGAGGCCGUGGUAGAGGACGGUCUUACCAUGAUGACCACAACCCAUACUAUGAUCAACCUGGUAAUUAUUACCCCAGGAAUUAUCCUAAUUAUCGGGGAAGGGGUGGUAGGGGUAGCCGUGGUGGUGGGAAUUAUAGCUACUAUGCUUCAGGUGAUCAAGCUGGAAAUGUCCCCGCCUUUUCAUGAUUGUUUAGGUGAAGCAGCAUAUGCUAUACCUUUUUUGUUGGAAGCUGAUAACGCUAUUUCCCCGUUAACCUGAAGCACUAAAUGUGUCAAAACUGUUUUGCUUGUGUUAAGUCCUCUACCAGAAUAGCAUUAAAAAGGGUCAAGUGUAGUGUCUUCUUUUGAACUUGACAACUUGUUAGAUCAAUUUUGAGUCUCCAUUACUAGUUUUAUCUCAAGUGAAAUUGUAUGAUAAUGUCUGCUGUAUUCUGAGUGACUAAAAGUUGCCUGCUGUUAUAUAU